GCUUAUCACCAUUCCAGAUUGAAUAUACCCGAUCUCGUCUGAUCUCGGAAAUCAAGCAAUCUCGGGCUUGGUUAGUACUUGGAUGG
rnacentral:rRNA from 1 species